GACGAACGCUGGCGGCGUGCCUAAUACAUGCAAGUCGAACGCAGUGGGGACGGGGGAGUAACACGUGGGUAACCUGCCAGCAGAGGGGAGAAAACUUGGAAACAGGUGCUAAAACCGAUACUGAUGGAUGGACCCGCGGUGCAUUAGCUAGUUGGCGGGGUAACGGCGCACCAAGGCGACGAUGCAUAGCCGGCCUGAGAGGGUGAUCGGCCACACUGGAACUGAGACACGGCCCAGACUCCUACGGGAGGCAGCAGUCGGGAAUCUUCGGCAAUGGACGAAAGCCUGAUCCAGCCACGCCGCGUGAGUGAAGAAGGUCUUCGGAUCGUAAAACUCUGUUGUUAGAGAAGCGUUAUCUAACCAGAAAGCCACGGCUAACUACGUGCCAGCAGCCGCGGUAAUUC
rnacentral:rRNA from 1 species